rnacentral:rRNA from 1 species
CGCCGUAAACGGUGGGCACUAGUUGUGGGGACCUUCCACGGUCUCUGCGACGCAGCUAACGCAUUAAGUGUCCCGCCUGGGGAGUACGAUCGUAAGAUUAAAACUCAAAGGAAUUGACGGGGCCCCGCACAAGCAGCGGAGCAUGCGGCUUAAUUCGACGCAACGCGAAGAACCUUACCAAGGCUUGACAUAUACAGGAAUAUGGCAGAGAUGUCAUAGCCGCAAGGUCUGUAUACAGGUGGUGCAUGGUUGUCGUCAGCUCGUGUCGUGAGAUGUUGGGUUAAGUCCCGCAACGAGCGCAACCCUCGUUCUGUGUUGCCAGCAUUUAGUUGGGGACUCACAGGAGACUGCCGGGGUUAACUCGGAGGAAGGUGGGGAUGACGUCAAAUCAUCAUGCCCCUUAUGUCUUGGGCUGCACGCAUGCUACAAUGGCUGGUACAAACGGCUGCAAUACCGCAAGGUGGAGCGAAUCCGAGAAAGCCAGUCUCAGUUCGGAUUGGGGUCUGCAACUCGACCCCAUGAAGUCGGAGUUGCUAGUAAUCGUAGAUCAGCAACGCUACGGUGAAUACGUUCCCGGGGCUUGUACACACCGCCCGUCACGUCACGUAAGUCGGUAACACCCGAAGUCAGUGGCCCAACCGCAAGGAGGGAGCUGCCGAAG